rnacentral:tRNA from 1 species
AUUUAAGUAGCUUAUGUUAGAGUAUAAUAUUGAAGAUAUUAAGGAAAUUAUUUAAAUUCUUAAAUA